AUACGUAGGGAGCGAGCGUUGUCCGGAAUUACUGGGUGUAAAGGGAGCGUAGGCGGGAGUGCAAGUCAGAUGUGAAAUACAUGGGCUCAACCCAUGGGCUGCAUUUGAAACUGCAUUUCUUGAGUGAAGUAGAGGUAAGCGGAAUUCCUGGUGUAGCGGUGAAAUGCGUAGAUAUCAGGAGGAACACCGGUGGCGAAGGCGGCUUACUGGGCUUUUACUGACGCUGAGGCUCGAAAGCGUGGGGAGCAAACAGGAUGAGAUACCCUGGUAGUCCACGCUGUAAACGAUGAUUACUAGGAGUGGGGGGACUGACCCCUUCCGUGCCGCAGUUAACACAAUAAGUAAUCCACCUGGGGAGUACGGCCGCAAGGUUGAAACUCAAAUGAAUUGACGGGG
rnacentral:rRNA from 1 species